UCGCGAAGGAAGGAGGACGCGGACAGUUCUAGUUCUAUUUCACCUCAGAAGCGCUCGCUUAGUCCGCGCAAAAAUGUUUCCUCCGAAUUGCUCUCCAAGGACGGUGUUUUUGACCGUGACAACCUGCUGACUGACUACCUGCUGCUUCAGUGAACCGAAGAGACUGGAAAGAGAACACUAAUUUCUUUACCAUGUAUUUGUUUUUAUAUAAAUAAGUACAUAUUGUUUAAUAAGAAUCUGUAAUAAAGGCAAAGUACUAUGAAGGCACUGAUCUCGACAAGAGGCGCAUCAUUCGUAGGGGAGGCAGAUGAAUUCACAAUUCAGUAGCGAGACCAAUACAGAAAGAGAGAGAGGAAGAAAGUGAGAAAGAAAGUGACAGAGGGAGAGAGAGAGGCAAUCACCUGUACCUACCGGGGAAGGAUGGCCAGCCACACAGGAGAGUGAUUUUCACCAAGGAGGAAAUGGAGGCCGCGCUGACAGAGAUGCAUGCUGGACAUUUCGGAGUGAAUCGCAUGAUUGCCAAAAUCAACGGUCAACCACUGAAAUCCCUGACGCCUUACACUUCGGUGAAGCCCGUGAGACAAAGUGACGUUCGUCCCACCCUGACAGUCCUGCCCCCCUCCAGUGUGGAGCUGCAGCAGGGGAAGGCCACUCUCAUGUGCCUGGCCAACAAGGGCUUCCCCUCAGACUGGAAGCUGAGCUGGAAGGUGGAUGGUAGCAGCAGUAACACCUGGGAGGUGACCGGGAGCCCCGGGGUCCUGGAGAAGGACGGCCACUACAGCUGGAGCAGCACCCUGACCCUCCCUGUUGAUCAGUGGAAGAAGGUGGGCUCUGUGACCUGUGAGGCCACCCAGGGCUCCCAGUCUCCUCUCUCUGAGACACUGAAGAGAGACCAGUGUUCUGAUUAAUGAGCUCCCCCCUCUGACUUCACUUUUUUUUACCCUGUUCUGCACUCAGCAUCUCUCCUUCUUACUGAUCCGGCACUACUACCACACUGGUCUGGUUCUGGGCUGGGCCUUUCUCCAGAAUAUCUGUCUGAUUCUGAUGUCAAAGUUCUGCUUGGCUUUCUUACAUUUGUUAUAAUCUUUAUUCCUGUAAUGCUGUUGGUUCUGACAUGCUGAGAUAAUAAAUACUUUUCCCCAUCCUUAA